rnacentral:rRNA from 1 species
UACAGAGGUCUCAAGCGUUGUUCGGAUUCAUUGGGCGUAAAGGGUGCGUAGGCGGCGAGGUAAGUCGGGUGUGAAAUCUCGGGGCUUAACUCCGAAACUGCAUUCGAUACUGCCGUGCUUGAGGACUGGAGAGGAGACUGGAAUUUACGGUGUAGCGGUGAAAUGCGUAGAUAUCGUAAGGAAGACCAGUGGCGAAGGCGGGUCUCUGGACAGUUCCUGACGCUGAGGCACGAAGGUCAGGGGAGCAAACGGG